UACGUAGGGUGCGAGCGUUGUCCGGAAUUAUUGGGCGUAAAGAGCUUGUAGGCGGUUUGUCGCGUCUGCUGUGAAAAUCCGGGGCUCAACCCCGGACUUGCAGUGGGUACGGGCAGGCUAGAGUGUGGUAGGGGAGACUGGAAUUCCUGGUGUAGCGGUGAAAUGCGCAGAUAUCAGGAGGAACACCGAUGGCGAAGGCGGGUCUCUGGGCAGUAACUGACGCUGAGGAGCGAAAGCGUGGGGAGCGAACAGG
rnacentral:rRNA from 1 species